UCGCGCCAGAGGUGAGAGGUCGGCAACCGGGAUUCCGCGGAGGAAGUGUAGGAUUCUUGGCCCUUGGCCAGGUAAUUUGACUAGACUGCGCAAAGAAAGAAUCGAUCACUGGAAGCAAAAGCUUUCUGUUCACCACAGGUGAACAGCUCUUUCCACCAGAAAGGAUAAACAUGAUUUUCCACCUGGGCUCCCCAGCUGGCUCCUGGUACUUGGUAUGAUGGAGAGUACCGUGGUUAUGCAUGAACGUUGGGUUACAAGCACCCUGGCAUCAGAACCUCUGUUAAACAUUUUCGCCCACAGCACCUGAUGGUGUGCUACACAUGGAAAAUACUUGUUGACUCAAGACUGUCUCUCUGCAGAGGAGUCUGGUGGCCAAGGGCCAAGGAAUGCCAGGAGCUAAGAAGCCAUUCAGGAGGAAGACGCUUGAACAAGGUCAGGGGUGCAUAGGAGUGCAGGAGGAGACUGUAAGUUGUCACAGGUGCGCCAGCACCAUUAUACAAGUGCUAAAGAAUGAAUGGGGCUGGGCACUGAGCAUCAGUGCCGCUCACCUCGCAAGAAAGGCAGUGGACCACACAGUGCUUGCCUCCUGAGGGAAGAACAGAACCACCUGUGAAGUUGCAAACCUGAAUCUGAUCAAACCUCCGACUUCCAAUUCACAGGAAAUACAGAGAGCAGAGAAACGUGUUAAACAGCACCGUGAGAUGCAACCAGCACAGUCCAGAUGCUGGGAACUUUACAUACAGGAUGAGCAACCAAGUUGCAAGGAAAAGUAAAAUGAUAGAGGUGGAGAGGGAACCUACAGAUCUAAGAAUACUUAAAAUAUAUAUCAACCCCUAACGGUGCGUGGACCUUAUAUGGAUUCUGAAUCAAAGAAACAAACGGUGACGGGAAAAAUUUAUGAGACCAGUGACUGGAUAUUUGAUAUUAAGGAAUUAAUGUUAACUUUUUAAGGUGUGACAGUGGUCAAAGUCCUUAUUUUUUAAGGACACAUACUGAAAUAGUUAUAGCUUACAUGGUAUGAUGUCUGGUAUUUGCUUCAAAAUAACCCAGGAAGGGGUAAGUGUGUGGGAGUGUAAGUAAAAAGAUUGAGCACUAGUUGAUAAUCGUUGAAGCUGGAUGAUGGGAAUUAUUUUAUACUAUUCUGGCACUUUCUCAAAGUGUAUGUUUGAAAAUUGCCAUAAUAAA